rnacentral:lncRNA from 10 species
AAAGGUGGAGGCGGAAGUGACUGAUCAAUUCAGGGGCGUGGGGUUCGUUUAGGUUUUGCCCUGUGUAUGACCUCGUUUGGAGCCAUGAAACCAGCCUCAAGCUUUAUUCUAGGAAGGUAAUUCUGAAGAUACCUAUCUUCUUGAGAGUGAAAUUUUAUGGAAUCCUAGAUUUCUCAUACCUAGGAAUAACAAUGAGCAAAGCAGACCUUGGUGGCCAGAGGGGAGCCCUCAGGUAGAGCUGCAGAUGCUGGCAGUUUGUGUUAGAAGGUUCCGGGGCUAAACAGAUGCCUAGAAUUAGCCACCAAAAGGUAAAUUGUAGACUCCACUCUUCAAGAAGCAGCAGAAGGAUUAGGAAUUCAAACAGUGCUAUUUUACGGUGGCUUUUCUACAAUAUAAAGAUGGAAAUGGGAAGAAGAUGUUCAUUGCAAAUUAAGGAAGCUCUUCCACGAGUUCACGAAUGGAAAUAACAUCAAGAGUUUUUCAUCUUCUUAGUGUGCAAGGUUAAAAUGAAUAAUGAAAGGAAAGGGAGAGCGUCUCUCUUUACAAUGCUGGAACAGAUGUCUUGAGUCUGCCUCCUGAUGACUUAAUUUAUGUCAUGUGCUCAGCCCUAAACCAAUCCCUGUGGCAGAAGUGAAGUGGCUGUGAAAAGAACUGGGGGUAGUAUUGAGAAGAAAAGUAGAAAAUGACAGGUCAAAAUAUAACAAAUGUCCGCUACCAAAAAUAAUGUUUUCCUGUCAAUUUUUAAGCAUGUGUGUAUGGUUUCAAUGUAUUAUUAAAAGUAUGUGUGUGUAUACAUAUACAUAUAAGAAUCUAAUGUAUUCUAUAU